UAGGGAAUCUUCCACAAUGGACGAAAGUCUGAUGGAGCAACGCCGCAUGAGUGAAGAAGGGUUUCGGCUCGUAAAACUCUGUUGUUAAAGAAGAACAUAUCUGAGAGUAACUGUUCAGGUAUUGACGGUAUUUAACCAGAAAGCCACGGCUAACUACGUGCUAG
rnacentral:rRNA from 1 species